GAUGAAGAACGUAGCGAAAUGCGAUAAGUAAUGCGAAUUGCAGAAUUUCCGUGAGUCAUCGAAUCUUUGAACGCACAUUGCGCCCCUUGGUAUUCCAUGGGGCAUGCCUGUUCGAGCGUCAUUUGUACCUUCAAGCUUUGCUUGGUGUUGGGUGUUUGUCCUGAGGGACUCGCCUUAAAGUAAUUGGCAGCCAGUGUUUUGGUUUUGAAGCGCAGCACAAGUCGCGAUUCAAAGCUAUACGCCAGCUUCCACAAGCCUUUUUCACUUUUGACCUCGGAUCAGGUAGGGAUACCCGCUGAACUUAAGCAUAUCAAUAAGCGGAGGA
rnacentral:misc_RNA from 1 species